rnacentral:misc_RNA from 1 species
AACACUGUUAACCUGCGGUACCUGCGGAGGGAUCAUCAUCGAAUUCAUAUCCUUCUCCGACCGGAGGAGGACCUAUGAUAAACCCUUAUGUGCACCGUAAACCGUUCACUUUGGCAGGCUUUGGUGGUGAGCGUGAGCUCGUCAACCUCGCGUUCCCUCCCUAGGGGGGUUGCGCGUGGCGGCCUGCCGGAGUCCUUCAAUGAAAAACACGUUUUCGAACACGACUGAAAUUUCCUUUGA